AAGUCUAUUUUAGUUAAGCAUAUUAGAUGCCUUGGAUUCCAUAAAAGUUGAAUCUAAACUAACUAUAAAUUAAGGAAUUGAUAUAACUUUUCAAAAUUUUUUGGGACCCCUAGGGAAGAUGAUUCACAAUCAAUAAUGCAUUAAGUACACUAUCAUCAAUAUUACAAAUAAUAUGGUUCUUAAUUGAUGAAAAGAUUUUACAAAAAUGGAGAUUUAAUGUGUCUGUAAAUCCACUUGUUAUGAUAAUAAGAACUGCAUAAUUAUGGUUAUUAAAAAUUCACUGUAAAAGAGAAAUAAAAAAUUCUUUGGUUAAGCCAAUGGUCUGUCAAUCUUUCAAAGGGGUCUCUUCAAACUAAUUGACAUGGUAUAAUUCUUGCUUUAUUACUUUCAAAAUUAUUGUUUUUGGCUCUCAGUAUUCUGAUGGAAGCACUCAUUUUGCAUUUUAGUGGAUAUAUCAUAUACAAAUAAUUUUGAAAAUUUAGGUGAUUUAAGAUUAAAAGAAACCUAUAUCUAGAAGAAGAUCAGUGGAAAGUAUAAUGAUUUAAUUGGAAGGAACUUUUUUUGAGAUUUCAUUAUAAUUAAUACCCAAACUCUUAUUUCAGGUGAUGUGCCCAGGGUUAAUGGUUAACUUGCAGUUGCACGCGCUUUUGGAGAUCAAAGCCUGAAAGCACAGUUAAGUUCAGGGCCUGAUGCAAGACAUGUGCCAAUAGACUCAGCUAAAGAGUUUGUUAUAUUGGCAAGCGACGGAUUGUGGAAGGUUAUGAAGAAUCAAGGGGCGGUGGAUAUUGUCAAACUGAUAAAGAAUCCUCUGGUAGCAGCUAAACGUCUAAUAACUGAAGCAUUAGCAAGAAAGAGUCAAGAUGAUAUAUCUUGCAUUGUAAUCAGAUUUGGAUAAUUGCAACUAUAUGGAGAGUAAUAGCUCAAGACCAGGAAUUGGGUAAGAAAACAUUUUUGUGUAAGUAGUAUAACUUUGGUGGAUGAGAGAAUCAUGGUAAAGCAAGUUGAUAUAGCAUCGUGAUGCUCUGUUUUUUUUAAUUUUUUUUUUUUUUAGUGCAACAAUGAGGGGUACUUAUUCAUUUGGCUAUGACCAAAGAAGAAAGAAAGAUUGAUUCAAUUUAAUAAUUUGGAUAUGAUUGUUGA